rnacentral:rRNA from 1 species
GACGAACGCUGGCGGCGUGCUUAACACAUGCAAGUCGAACGGUAAGGCCCUUCGGGGUACACGAGUGGCGAACGGGUGAGUCACACGUGGGUGAUCUGCCCUGCACUUCGGGAUAAGCCUGGGAAACUGGGUCUAAUACCGGACAGGACCACUGCCUGCAUGGGGGGUGGUGGAAAGCUUUUGCGGUGGGGGAUGGGCCCACGGCCUAUCAGCUUGUUGGUGGGGUGAUGGCCUACCAAGGCGACGACGGGUAGGCGGCCUGAGAGGGUGACCGGCCACACUGGGACUGAGAUACGGCCCAGACUCCUACGGGAGGCAGCAGUGGGGAAUAUUGCACAAUGGGCGCAAGCCUGAUGCAGCGACGCCGCGUGAGGGAUGACGGCCUUCGGGUUGUAAACCUCUUUCAGCACCGACGAAGCGCAAGUGACGGUAGGUGCAGAAGAAGGACCGGCCAACUACGUGCCAGCCGCCGCCGUAA